rnacentral:rRNA from 1 species
AUUGAACGCUGGCGGCAGGCCUAACACAUGCAAGUCGAGCGGAUGAAGGGAGCUUGCUCCUGGAUUCAGCGGCGGACGGGUGAGUAAUGCCUAGGAAUCUGCCUGGUAGUGGGGGAUAACGUCCGGAAACGGGCGCUAAUACCGCAUACGUCCUGAGGGAGAAAGUGGGGGAUCUUCGGACCUCACGCUAUCAGAUGAGCCUAGGUCGGAUUAGCUAGUUGGUGGGGUAAAGGCCUACCAAGGCGACGAUCCGUAACUGGUCUGAGAGGAUGAUCAGUCACACUGGAACUGAGACACGGUCCAGGCUCCUACGGGAGGCAGCAGUGGGGAAUAUUGGACAAUGGGCGAAAGCCUGAUCCAGCCAUGCCGCGUGUGUGAAGAAGGUCUUCGGAUUGUAAAGCACUUUAAGUUGGGAGGAAGGGCAGUAAGUUAAUACCUUGCUGUUUUGACGUUACCAACAGAGUAAGCACCGGCUAACUUCGUG